rfam:Erinaceus europaeus unplaced genomic scaffold scaffold00770, whole genome shotgun sequence
GGAUGUGAGGGCGAUCUGGCUGUGACAUCUGUCAUCCCAUCGAUCGCCAGGGUUGAUGCGGCUGAUCUGGAUGACUAGGCGGGUGUCCCCUUCCUCCCUCACCACUCUAUGUGUGUCCCUCCCGAAGCUGCGUGCUCAGUGGAAGAGGACGGCCUUCCCUGAAUAGAGACAGACUGUCGAGUAGCUGCACUCCCCUGCUAGCACCUCCAACCAAGCUCUCAAAAUGUCAACCUAUAUCUAAGACUGUGGGAUAACUAUAAAGGUUAUCUAUGAGGUUGGGGAUGGGGACCACAUACCUUUGGUU